UGCCCUGUGACAACUCUCCCCUAAGUUAACGGGACACUGUGAGUGUGCCUGUGUGCGUGUGUGCUCACAUGUGUUGAUAUGUUCACAUGUAUGUGUGGGCGAGUAUCCAUGAGUUUGUGGUCAACCUUGGCUGCCAUUCCUCAGGUGCUGUUUACCUUUAUUUGUAAAGGGUUUCUCCCUACCUUGGGACUCUCCCAGUAGGUUAGGCUGACUGUUUGUAGCUACAGUGAUCUGCCUGUAUCCACUCUUCAGCCCCGAGAUUAAAAGUAUGAGUCACCAUGCCUGGCUUCCCCCUCUCCUGUUCCCCGACACCCAACAUUCCCUUCCUCCCCCCCUCCCCCGUCAAACUCAAGACCUUAUGCUUGUAAAGUGAGCACAGAGACAUUUUCUUGGCCCCUAAGCUUGGCUCCUGAGGACACACCAACCUCUGUCACUACCUGGACACGAGAUGCCCCAUGCCAACAAAUACAACCCGAAGGUUGAGGGGUUUGUUUACCACUGUAUGCAACAAUGCUUUAGCCCCCAGGAGUCGGGAGCUGAGGAACAACUGUUGCUCUGACAGCACUCAGUUCCAAGGUGCCUGCCAGCCUGUCAGAGGCCAGUGACUAGAGAUGCUUGCCCUCUGGCCUGCUUGGCACACGUCAUUCACGCACACCUCAGUGCCAUUGUCCUCUCUCCAGCUUUGCUGGGAUUGCACUUUCCAGUGGGAUAACAGCACAGAGGCAUUUGCGGUUGGCUCUGUUUCCUGGAGAAAGCUGGUUGAGACAGCCUGCGCGUGAACGCCCCAAGGAGGUUGGGAUUGAAAGGAUGUGGAAUGUAGCUCCUUUCUUUGCUCUGCAGAAUCUUCAUUUGACUCUGGAUUUCUAUAAGACCCACACUGGAUCAGGCCCCAGGCUAGAUCUGUUUAAGAAGCUUUCUCCACAUAGCUCUUCUCUUUUGCUCUUCAAGUUUAAAGGCUGGGAAGGUCUGUGAAGCUAGACACACUGUAGCAGCCAUGGGGAGAUGCAAGCUAUUCUUUAACCACUGUAAGAGGGUCAUAGGACAGUCCCCUCUGUACUCACCCUGUUACUAGCCUCUCUUACUUCCUGUCUUAGCUCACUGGAGACCAGAACCUGGGAAGUAAAACGACCCCAGAUCUCGCUCCCUUAACAGUUGUGUUCUCCUCUUCUCCAAGAGAAAACUAAGCAGGGCCUGCCACCUCGGGCCUUGCAUGUGCAGCAGCAUGGGUCAGGGUUCCUUGUCUCCCCCACAGUCCCUUAACCACCCUGGGCAAGCAGGCUGCACAUGUCUGACUCUGUUCUUAGUUACAGAUGGAUGUCUCAUAUGUAUGUAGAUUUCAGCGUGGAUCAAAAGCAAGUGAUGCAUCAAACGCGGCAAGUUCAGGCUGUGCCGUCGACGGGUGUGUAACCCAGCAUGCUCUGCUGACCUCUCAUUGAGUUCACUGAUUGGAACCUUGGUUAGCAGGGCUGUGCUUAUCCUAGGAGAGUACAAAGCGGUCUGGCCAUGGUGCAUCCUACAUCUGUAGCUGGUCUUUGCCACUUUGUGGGUCCUUCUUUUUCCCACUCUUUAUUUCCCCCAUUUCACCCCCUAGCCUAGAUAGAAGAGAAAGAAAGAGGGGAGAGAAAGAUAGACACCCCCGAAACUAACUUCUUUCCUUUAGUUUGUUCUUCGACCCUGGCUACUAACAAAAUGCAACCAACCCCCCCUGAAUGACCAACCAGCACCAACCAACCUCUCAGGCCCCAGCCUUUAUACACCCUCUGAAAAGUUUCCAGAAUUCCAAAUGUCACACAAUCGCAGAAACUAUCUGCAGCUGGCAAAGCCAUGCCUCUGCUAGAACGUGAGGUAAAUCACAGUCAGCGACAGACUGCAGACAGUCCGAAGAAGCCACAUAUCCUACACCUGGGAUUAAAAUGCAAGCAUACUCUUAAAAUAUUUCUCUCUCUCUCUCUCUCUCUCUCUCUCUCUCUCUCUGUGUGUGUGUGUGUGUGUGUGUGUUUAAAGAAACCAGAAUUCCACUACACACAUCAGUGUCUCACAUUCAGUUAAGGGAAGAUGGUAUCCUCUCCCAUUGACAAUGGAGGAAAAUACACUUCAGAGACAUGAGGAACUUGGCAGAAUUCCAGAAUCAGCUGGACUCAGGCUUUCAAAGCCCAAGAGCUUGAGUACCACAUGCACCUUCGCUGGCUCUUGAAUUCUUACCUACCUACCCAGAGCACCUCUUACCAAACCUGUUUUCUACCUCAGGCCUUUCUCUCCUGGUCACCUGUGGGCUUCAGUCUGGAGGAGAUGUCACUCCCUCCACAGUUGGCUUCCUUUGCUUCCUCAUCUUCUUGCCCAGCCUCCCUGGAGCCAGCUCCCAAAUCAACAGUAUUUACAUGUAUGGGGUCUCAGAGUCUGCUCCGCUCCGGGGACAGGAGAAAAGAACACUAUGGUGCAAGUCACUUCCUUAUUCCGGAAGACUUUCAGCCGGGCAGAAACCCAAGGUUGUGUGUGCCUGGAAGAGGCAGAGUUGGUGUGUGUGUGUGUGUAUAUGCAUACAUGUGCAUGUGUAUGUGUGCAUGUAUGUGCAUGCGUGUAUGUGCAUGUAUGUAUGUGCAUGUGUGUGUGUGUGUGUGUGUUUCUCUGUGUGUGAUAGUAGACAGGACCAGCCUCCAUGGUACAAGCCUUGGGUAGACAUAGGUUUCUGCUACUCUCUGCCACGGUGAGGGGAACAAUUGAAGGGAGGAAUUGUCUACUUUGCUCAUGGUUUCCAGGGACACAGCCUAUGGUCAUGUGACUCCAUGUGCCUGAGCAGAAUAUAAUGAUGGUAGAAGUAUAUAGUGAAAGGACAUCUUUACAUCGUGGUAGACAGGAAGUAGGAGUGGGAGGCGGUGAACAGAACAGAUACACCCUCAGGGACACAGCUCUAGCAACCUACUUCCUCUAGUUGGACCUCAGCUCCUAAAUUUCUAGAACUUUCCAAAAUGGCAUCACGGACUAGAGGAUAAACCUCUUAACAUGAGUCUUUGAGGAGGACACUCAUAUCCAAAUCUCAACACCACCUCUGAUUAUGCCUGCUUGCUAAACAGCUCCAGAUUCUCUUUCUCCUGCUGCCACCAAGGAGGUAGUCAAGAAUUUCUGGGUCUUUGAACUGUUUCCUCCCUAUGUCAACCCCUUCCGGGUCAUCUACACUCUCUCAGCAGCACAGGAGCCAGCUGCAGCUCAAGAGGGCUUGUGUCUCUCUGCUUCACUAUGGAGGAUGUCUCAGAAGCCACCACCUCUGGUCCCUCAGUCAUCGUUCUCAGGUUGGAGGGCCUUCAAUCACUCAGCUGCUUCUUCAGGUGACAGCUCAGAUUGCUAGCAAGAGAACAACAUAUUUUGGAAGUGAUAUGUCAUUUCUCAUGUUUGGUCUGUUUUACUUCAGCUCCAAAACACCCUUUUGGCCCCUGAUCAAGACCAUAUUGAUGGUACAAGUUUACUGCCUGACUCAGACCGCAUCAACCACGGCUUCCCAACACCCACCCUCCUCCACACCAGUGAAGACAACACUCACAUAAGAGCCCUCCUGGCCUGGAUAGCCAAUAUCUAACACCUUUAUUUAUUUAGCGGGAAAGCAAGCAUUACCAUGGUGGGUUUCAUAGUAACCUCCUAAACAUAUGUUCACCUGGCUCUCGUAAAUGUGACCUUAACACAAGGAAAGACGAUUUGCAGAUGUGACUGAACUAGAAUCUCAAGAGUAGGUCUCGGUAGAUGACUCAGUUAUUCAUAAGCAAACUGCAAGUAUCCUGAGACACAGGCAGGAAGACAGGCAGAAAAGGCCAGGCAAAGAAAGUGUAUAGAUUGAGUUGAUGUGCCCAGAAGCCAAGGAAUGCCAGAUUUAUCAGACAUCAGAAAAAUCGAUGAACAGGACUCCAGCAGAGCACCCAUACAGUGCAGCAGCCCUGUCCGUGCCUUGGUUUCAAUGUCUGGCCUGUGAACAGAGCACCAUUAUCUGUUGUCAUAAGCUACGUGGCUUCAGGUAAUUUAUUAUAGCAGCCACAGAAAUACGGCCAGCUAACAAAUGUUGGUGCUAAUGAUGUUUUGAAGGCUGUAACCACUUAAGCUUUGUACUGUUACUCUAAGGUAAAGAUUAGUUUUGCUCUUUUAUGGGCAAGGGAGUUGAGAAAAGGAGUUCAAAAGACUUUCCCAAAUCCACUUAGUGAGGAAAUGGUUGCUCAUGGCUUGGUAUCCAAACUGAUUCCAGAGCCUGCUAACCACGGCUCUCUUCCUUCUCCAAGGGGAAUUCCAAGUUGAAUCCCACACCUCCCGCCCUGCAUGUGCAGUAUUAGGGGAACACAGUUCCCUGCCUCACACCACAGUCCCCUGGCCGCCCUUGGUGAACAGGCAGCACACAUGCCCGAGAGGGCUGAGUUAAUUGGGCUCUAAAUCUGCAGGGAGGGAGACAAAAACCACAGGGUGGUUAAUUUAUUCCUGGCGGUGGCAGCGGUGGCAUGCUAGACAGAUGCUUUCUGUUAGAGUCCCCGUGCUUCCCGCUGCCCACUCACCACUGCAAGUGCUCGCUGGGUGCCUGCCUGUCUCCUCAGCUCCAGCCUCUGGUCCCAGGGUCUGUCCUGGUCCCCACUUCACUUCGGCUCAGUUCAGAGCCAGUUUCUGUUAUUUCGCAGCAAGAGUUGGACUGGUUCAGACAGGAGUUGAUGGUUGUGAGAGCCAGGGAAGACAAAUACCUCAAUGCCAUGAUCGGUUGCCCCGUGUCUACAAGGCCAGCACUUGGGCAGACCACACUCCCUCACAUCCGUCUGUUUUGUAAUGGCCACUCAGAGGUCAUGGCCACCCCUCUGCUUGUUGCAAGAAAAACUAGUGAGAACUCUGACAGUCCGGAGAAGACUUCAGGAAACUUUGUCGAAGACCUUCUGUCUCUCUGAGUUCCUCUGAGGGAGAUAGAUAGCUGCCAUCUUCCCUCGUCCCUUUAAUGAGUCUUGAAGUUCCAUUCUAGCUGUCACUGCAUACUUCCUACCCACCAGCCCCCUGAACUUAAUACUCUCACAAUGGUGCAUUAAACACACAGCACCCCACCGCCGUGCGCCUUCAGGCUUCGAGAGAUCCCAUUAAUCUGCGUCCCUGUGGCUGUUGUGCAGUGCUGAGUCAGGUUCUUCCGUCACUGACAGCUAAAUCAUCCCCAGAAUUUCCAGUAUCCCUAGUGGAAGUGCAUGAUUCCCGGGUAGCUGCACAUAUGCUAUCCUGGAGGAACCCAAGUGUACUCUCAUGGUCCUUUCAGUAAAAGGGCAACAUCCCAACCCCCACAGAAAGAAGCCUCUUUGCCAAAGUAAAGGCAAAACCUUCACACACAGCCUCUGUCUCUCCUGCCCUGGGAGCCAUGACUGGCCUGGCCCAUUUUCACCCUGGCUUCUCCUAUCAGUUCUGGCCCAGGAGCUAGAGAAGCGCCUUGCUUUCCGAUGUGGACUUCUUCCUCAGCAGCCGCUGUGUGGGACAAAUACAAUCCAGAAACACAUUGAUUGGAUUCAGCUUGCCGGUGUGAACUUCUAUAACAUGGAGAAUUUAUGACUGAAAAUGCAGCUUGGCCCGAAUGCAGAGACCACUGACUUGGAAAGGAGAUUCACUAUCAUCGUGGCCAUUGUGAUUGUCACUGUCACUAACACAUUUUCAGAGCGGACCACAAGUACUUCUAAGCAAGAGCUCAGUUCAUCCCAUGACACAUUGAGGUCAUCCAUAGAGGAGGAAACUAAGGUUCCGAGUCAUUAUAUACUCAAAUCGCAUGACUAGGAUGUGGCAGAGAUGGGGAUUGAACUCAGGCAUUCUGGCCCCAAAGCCCAGGCUGCAGCAAUUCCAGCUUAAAGUCUCUCUUCUUCUUAUCUGAGUGUCAGCUGUACAGGCAUGGAUAAACGGAAGUUCUGAGAGAUUAUUCUGGCUGUCAGUAAAUCACAGGCCAUAAGAAUGCAAAACCAA